rnacentral:rRNA from 1 species
CCUACGGGCGGCUGCAGUGGGGAAUAUUGCACAAUGGGCGCAAGCCUGAUGCAGCCAUGCCGCGUGUGUGAAGAAGGCCUUCGGGUUGUAAAGCACUUUCAGCGGGGAGGAAGGCGGUGAGGUUAAUAACCUCAUCGAUUGACGUUACCCGCAGAAGAAGCACCGGCUAACUCCGUGCCAGCAGCCGCGGUAAUACGGAGGGUGCAAGCGUUAAUCGGAAUUACUGGGCGUAAAGCGCACGCAGGCGGUCUGUCAAGUCGGAUGUGAAAUCCCCGGGCUCAACCUGGGAACUGCAUUCGAAACUGGCAGGCUAGAGUCUUGUAGAGGGGGGUAGAAUUCCAGGUGUAGCGGUGAAAUGCGUAGAGAUCUGGAGGAAUACCGGUGGCGAAGGCGGCCCCCUGGACAAAGACUGACGCUCAGGUGCGAAAGCGUGGGGAGCAAACAGGAGUAGAUACCCUUGUAGUC